CCUGGAAAUACAUCCUUAUUCUUUUUAUAUGGAAACUAUGAAUCAAUUAUCAAAUUUAACCUGAACACUCAGCCUGAGAUAAAAGAAAGUACGAAAUCAAAACCUACUUUCAAGAAUCAAGCAAAAUGGAUCAAACAAAUUAAAAACAAAACCUCUUGUUAUGAAAGAAUACAGUGCCCACUAACUCAUGCUAUUCACCCGUCGAGAAGAUAUCCCCUGACAAAUUCUUACAAAGAUUAUCUUCUUUGCCAACCAGCUCUAAAUUCAAGCCUUAGCAGCGGCAGGAGGAGUCACGCCACCAGUAGUUGGCAGCCCAGCAGAGACUUUGACAGCAUCGUAGUAGAUACCCCAUUGGGCUCCGGUGAGAGUUCCAAUCAUGACGAUACGCAGAGGAAGGCCACGGGUAAGGAGACCCCACAAUCCUAGCUUCUUGAUCGCAUCACUGGCGGUUGCUCCCUUGGCAUUAUUGAGGAAAGACACCAAGUUGUCAGCAGGGUGCGACACAAUAGCACAGAAAACCCCAGCAAUGUAUCCACCAACAAAGCUGACUCCAAUCUGCAAACUUCUACUGCACUGCUCUUUUGGAGUUGGAAUAGCAUGCUUGUACAGCAACUCCACUAUGUUCUCAAAGGUUGCAAAUUUCAUCAUUGUAUAUGGAAUCUGACGUCCCCAGAGUGGAACAAGCCCUUUGUAUAACCCAGCAUAGCCUUCAGAUCUGAUGAACCUGGGCAAUCCAUCAGCCAAGCCCCGUGCGAAACCAGGCUGAGUUUGCACGCGAACUUUCACCGCCUCCAUGGGACACAGAACAACAUCUGCAAUGACUUCAGCGGAUGCAGAACCAGCAAGAUAAAUCAAGGUCUUGUACUUGGCAGCAUAUUCAGGGCCAGCAAUGUCGGAAUAGUACUUCUUAAAGAAUUCGUAGAAUCCAUAUUUGCAUGCACCCUGUGCACUGUAACCAAGCAGGGUAGGCGCCCAUCCCUUGAAGAAACCUCUUACUCCCUGCUCCUUGAACAAGACCCCAAAUCCAGAUCUGAUGCUCUUGUACUUUGAUGGGUCAAUCUGCAUAUUGCACUUCACGAGAUCGAGAGGAGUGACAGCCGUGUGAGUGGGGCCACAGCUUAAUAUCCCACCAACGGUACACGUUGCAUAGUAAGCCGGGGAGAACAUCUCGAUCUUCUCAGUCGGUGCUGGAAUCAUGAAGCUCCUUGACACGCCACUGCUGCUGUUGGAUGCCGAUGGUUUAGAAAUGAACGUCGAAUGAUGCAGGCCAUGGUUGGUGUUCACCGGAACGUCCAAAUCAAAGAGUCUCUUAGAAGGCACAGAAGGAGAGUAGAGAAAGUUAGGGAUGAGAUAUUGGCGGGAGGUAUCUGCGACAGCCAUCAUGGAAUUGACCGUUACUUGGGCCUGGAGAUGAAAAGAUCGUUCUUUUCUUUCUCAAAACAAGUAUUUGAG
rnacentral:misc_RNA from 1 species